rnacentral:rRNA from 1 species
GACGUAGGGUGCAAACGUUGCUCGGAAUCACUGGGCGUAAAGGGCGUGUAGGCGGGAUGGCAAGUCGGGCGUGAAAUCCCUGGGCUCAACCCAGGAACUGCACUCGAAACUGCUGUUCUUGAGUAUCGGAGAGGAAAGCGGAAUACCUGGUGUAGAGGUGAAAUUCGUAGAUAUCAGGUGGAACACCAGUGGCGAAGGCGGCUUUCUGGACGAUAACUGACGCUGAGACGCGAAAGCGUGGGGAGCAAACAGG